UCAAGUUAUCAUUGAGUAACAGUUAAAUUGCUCCCUUGCUGUCCAGAACAGCAUUUAACCCUAUAGUUAAUUAUUUAAUGACAUGAUCGAAACACAAACCAUGCCAACCACAAGAACUAUGAGCACAAACAUAUUACAAGGUUACCAGAACACCAGAUGAAGACUUCCAAACAUUUAUUUAACAAGACAUUUAUUAAUUAAUUCUAGAAAGAAGCAUAAUUACAAGAUAUUAGUCAAAGUGCUCAGAAAAAUCUACAAAAAUUAUAGAAGCACAAGGACAUCAUCAAAG
rnacentral:lncRNA from 1 species